rnacentral:ncRNA from 1 species
GGAAAGGACCGUAAAGAUCAUUUAGUUCCAACCUUCAAACCCCCACUCAGCCCAGACAUGGACAGGAUCAACAGAUCAAGAACUCUUUCUCAAUUCUAUGGGUGAUAGUGCAUGGCCAUUCUUAGUUGGUGGAGCUACUUAUCUGGUUAAUUCCAAUAAUCCUGGAAUCUAUGGUAUGUUAGUUAUGUGACACCUGAGCAGUUGGUGUCCACCUUCUUAGAGGGACAAGGGGCCAUCUGAGAUUAAGCAGUAACAGUACUGUGAUGUCCUUAGAUAUAUGGGGCUGCACACAUGCUACACUGACUAGCUCAGCUCAGUGUCUGCUUAUGCCAGCUUGCAUGGCUAACCUAUUGAACUCCAUUUGUGUUGGAGAUUGAGGACAGCAAUUAUUCCCUAUGAAUGAGGAAUUCCCAAUAAGUGCAAGUUAUAAGAUCAUGUUGAU